GUGAGGAAUAUUGGUCAAUGGACGAGAGUCUGAACCAGCCAAGUCGCGUGAAGGAAGACGGUUCUAUGAAUUGUAAACUUCUUUUGUGCAGGAAUAAAGUGGGUUACGUGUAACCUUUUGUAUGUACUGUACGAAUAAGGAUCGGCUAACUCCGUGCCAGCAGCCGCGGUAAUACGGAGGAUCCGAGCGUUAUCCGGAUUUAUUGGGUUUAAAUGGUGCGUAGGUGGAUUGAUAAGUUAGCGGUGAAAGUUUGCAGCUUAACUGUAAAAUUGCCGUUGAAACUGUCGGUCUUGAGUGUAAAUGAGGUAGGCGGAAUGUGUUGUGUAGCGGUGAAAUGCUUAGAUAUAACACAGAACUCCGAUUGCGAAGGCAGCUUACUGGGAUGCAACUGACACUGAUGCACGAAAGCGUGGGUAUCAAACAGGAUUAGAAACCCGAGUAGUCC
rnacentral:rRNA from 1 species